GAUGAACGCUGGCGGCGUGCCUAAUACAUGCAAGUCGAGCGAACAGACGAGGAGCUUGUUCCUCUGACGUUAGCGGCGGACGGGUGAGUAACACGUGGAUAACCUACCUAUAAGACUGGGAUAACUUCGGGAAACCGGAGCUAAUACCGGAUAAUAUAUUGAACCGCAUGGUUCAAUAGUGAAAGACGGUUUUGCUGUCACUUAUAGAUGGAUCCGCGCCGCAUUAGCUAGUUGGUAAGGUAACGGCUUACCAAGGCAACGAUGCGUAGCCGACCUGAGAGGGUGAUCGGCCACACUGGAACUGAGACACGGUCCAGACUCCUACGGGAGGCAGCAGUAGGGAAUCUUCCGCAAUGGGCGAAAGCCUGACGGAGCAACGCCGCGUGAGUGAUGAAGGUCUUCGGAUCGUAAAACUCUGUUAUUAGGAAGAACAAAUGUGUAAGUAACUAUGCACGUCUUGACGGUACCUAAUCAGAAAGCCACGGCUAACUACGUG
rnacentral:rRNA from 1 species